rnacentral:rRNA from 1 species
CCUACGGGGGGCAGCAGUGAGGAAUCUUCGUCAAUGGGCUUACGCCUGAACCAGCCAAGUCGCGUGAGGGAAGACUGUCCUCUGGGUUGUAAACCUCUUUUGUCAGGGAGCAACGCCGGCUACGUGUAGCCGGACUGUGAGUACCUGCAUAAAAAGCAUCGGCUAACUCAGUGCCAGCAGCCGCGGUAAUACGGAGGAUGCUAGCGUUAGCCGGAUUGAUUGGGUUUACAGGGUGCGUAGGCGGACUGCCAAGUCAGCGGUAAAUCCGCGGGGCUCAACCUCGCUCAGCCGUUGAAACUGGCGUACUUGAGUGGGCGAGAAGUAUGUGGAAUGCGUGGUGUAGCGGUGAAAUGCAUAGAUAUCACGCAGAACUCCGAUUGCGAAGGCAGCAUACCGGCGCCCAACUGACGCUGAAGCACGAAAGCGUGGGUAUCGAACAGGAUUAGAUACCCUGGUAGUC